GAGGAAAUGCCUUUCCCAUUUUCUCAGAAGUACGGUGUGAGUGGGUCCUCCCAGUCAAGCUGUCAAUGACUGGGCAGCAGUUGCCAUGGAAGGCAGUGAGUGGGCGUGCAGCAGACAAACCCAGUGAGGCUACUGGUCCCUCCUCAUCUACGGUUGUGACACAGACACUCCGGCAUUUAAAAAAGGCAGGCUGCUUAUGCACCCACAUCAAAAAAAAUGCUCAAGACCUCACUGCAGCCCUUUUAUAUUACAUUGCAAAGGACAUGAUGCCAUUUCAAAUUGUUGAGAGGCCUGGCUUUCUGUGGCUGAUGGAGGUUGCUGUGCCUCACUACAAUGUGUGGCAUAUCAAGAAGCUGAUUAAACAGCAUGACCAACUGGCCUCACAAC